rnacentral:rRNA from 1 species
GUCCUACGGGGCGCAGCAGUGGGGAAUAUUGGACAAUGGGGGGAACCCUGAUCCAGCGACGCCGCGUGAGUGAAGAAGUAUUUCGGUAUGUAAAGCUCUAUCAGCAGGGGAGAAAGAAAUGACGGUACCUGACUAAGAAGCCCCGGCUAACUACGUGCCAGCAGCCGCGGUAAUACGUAGGGGGCAAGCGUUAUCCGGAUUUACUGGGUGUAAAGGGAGCGUAGACGGCGAUGCAAGUCUGAAGUGAAAGUCGGGGGCCCAACCCCCGGUCGGCUGUGGAAACUGUAUGGCUGGAGUGCCGGGGG